rnacentral:rRNA from 1 species
AUUGAACGCUGGCGGCAUGCCUUACACAUGCAAGUCGAACGGUAACGCGGGGCAACCUGGCGACGAGUGGCGAACGGGUGAGUAACGCAUCGGAACGUGCCCAGUAGUGGGGGAUAGCCCGGCGAAAGCCGGAUUAAUACCGCAUACGACCUACGGGUGAAAGCGGGGGAUCGCAAGACCUCGCGCUAUUGGAGCGGCCGAUGUCAGAUUAGGUAGUUGGUGGGGUAAAGGCCUACCAAGCCGACGAUCUGUAGCUGGUCUGAGAGGACGACCAGCCACACUGGGACUGAGACACGGCCCAGACUCCUACGGGAGGCAGCAGUGGGGAAUUUUGGACAAUGGGCGCAAGCCUGAUCCAGCCAUGCCGCGUGCGGGAAGAAGGCCUUCGGGUUGUAAACCGCUUUUGUCAGGGAAGAAACGCUCUGGGCUAAUACCCCGGGGUAAUGACGGUACCUGAAGAAUAAGCACCGGCUAACUACGUGCCAGCCGCCGCCGUAAUAC